UACGGAGGAUGCGAGCGUUAUCCGGAUUUAUUGGGUUUAAAGGGUGCGUAGGCGGGUUAUCAAGUCAGCGGUAAAAUCGUGGAGCUCAACUCCAUCCAGCCGUUGAAACUGAUGAUCUUGAGUGGGCGAGAAGUAUGCGGAAUGCGUGGUGUAGCGGUGAAAUGCAUAGAUAUCACGCAGAACUCCGAUUGCGAAGGCAGCAUACCGGCGCCCGACUGACGCUGAAGCACGAAAGCGUGGGUAUCGGACAGG
rnacentral:rRNA from 1 species